CAAUAGCCCCGAUCGCAGUGGAAAUCCUUUUUUGGUGAUUUUCGGAACUUCGAAGAUUUCAGUCCUCUUCAUGCACCAAAAAAGAUUGCAACGGAGAGCGGGACGGGUU
rnacentral:sRNA from 1 species